GUCAUUAUGAUGAUAAUGGCUAGAAUCUGAAAAAUUUGAAGAGAAAAAAAAAACAAACAAACAUACCCAUCUCUCUAAAUCGGGAUUUGUUUCUGAUGAUACAAAUCCCAACUCAGAGAGAGGAAAAGAACAACCCAACUCAGAUUUGAAUGAGAAUGAAAUUCCCUUGUAGAUAGAGAUUGAUGAAAAUGAAAAACAAAAAAAA
rnacentral:lncRNA from 1 species